ensembl:lncRNA
ACAGAUGAAUGUAUAAUAUAUUACACAAUAGAGAUACAGUGCAAUAACAGCAUUGAUUUGUUUUCACUCGGUCAUAAAGUGCAUCGAAGGGGCUUGAUUUGACCAUAACUGAAUGAUAACUGUACAUUUGCCUUUGAGAUCAACUUUCCCAGUCAAGUUAAAAGGCUGAUGACAACACUGACAGCAAAACAAGGCUGUCCUGCUUGCUGUGGGAUGGCCUCAUUCCUGGGAAAUCGGUGGGACGGGAGGCAGGGAGGGGGUGAUGGAUUCCUGUCCUGCCUGCACAGAGCAGGCUCUGCCUCUGUGGGAUAUUCCUGCUGGGCUUGGCCACCAGGAGCUCGCCCUGCCUGGGGCUGGGGGAUUCCCUGUGCAGGGAGGAUGCUCUUUAUCCCGGGCUGGUGUGCUCUGCCCUGCUCCCAAGGGACAUCAGCCACCACACCAGCCCCGUCCUUGUCCCUGCGCUGCAGAGGAAAGGCAAGGCACAGCCCAGGGCUGCAGCCAGACCCUUCCCAGCUGGAAUAAAAGCUUUUCCUGGGACGAGGCAGCUGUUUCCCAGCUCCCAGAGCCUGCAGUAAGGCCAUAAACCUGUGCUGUGGUUUCGGUGGCUGUCAGUGCCCUGCCCGCUGCAGCACCCUCAGCAGGGACGGGAUCACCUCGGAGCCACUGGGCUGCUCCUGGCACCCAGCAGAAUUCCUGAAGGCAACUGGCACCCCUGGAGCUGGAGACAGCCCACUCACACCCCUCCAAAUCAGGGACCAAAGAGCUUCACACCACCCCUCUGACUUGGGUGCUCUCUGCCGAAAACUCCAUUUUCUCCUGUGAUGCUCUGUGCUGCAGUUUUCCAGUGGGAAUGGGAGAUCUCAGUUCCCGGGGCUGCAGGGACACUGGGGAGGGUGCCCUGGGGGGGAUGUUGCAGUGGGCAGCUGCACUGACAACAGAAGAGGAACAAAUGGUCCCAGUGGAGCUGCCUCACCUCACCACGAGGGCAGGCUGGGCAGGAACGAGAGGAAUUGCAAGGAAAUACCGUGUGCAUCCAACAAUUAUUCCUGACAAUUAGAAGUGAACUGUUAAUUCAUCGUUAGCAACAGCGUGAGUCUCAAUGCUGGGCAGGACACACCAAUACAAGUGAGUACCAAUGGGGUUUUAAAAGGUCUCCCCACCCCAAAUUUGAUGCUUUUACAAGAAAGAGAUACUUCAUCACCUAAGGAGAACAGUAAUGGUUUCUUGGGGGUUCAUUCCAGGUUCAAUUAAAACUCUUUGAUAUGAACAGACUGGAGCUGCCACAUCAGGACUGAGAUCCUUGGAAUCUUUACUGCUGGUUACUGACAUGAGGCUGGCUAAAGAGAGACAUUUUCACUGCUCAAAGUCCCAAACUGACCAAAAUGGAUAAGGAAAAAAGAAAACAAACCCCAAAAUAAAAGUAAGCAGCUUUGUGGUGGAGUCUAUAUUUGUUUUUUGGUUUUUUUUGGUUUUUUUUUUUGUUUUGUUUUUUUUGUUUUUUUUUUUUAAUUUCUAAUACUGGGACAGGGACAAGGGCUUGUUGUAAAUGCACAAGCUCCCCCCAAGCCUGGCACAUCUCCAUGACCCUCAGGGCAGCUGUGGUUACAUCCCACCCCACAGUGGCCCUGGCCUUGUCACAGUGUAUUUGAGGAAUGUUUUCUCCUUCUUUCUCCUCCUUGCCCUUUCCUCACCCCCUCAGCUCAACCAGCCAAGCACCAACACCGAAAGCUUUUCACCUCUACAUUCUGCUGGCCACCAGCUCGUGGUGGAAAAGCCAAAGGCACCCAGGAACCUGUAAAUAAAUCAGCAAAUUAGCAGUGGAUUCAUUUCCCUGGCUAUGCUGAUCCCUGCCAUAGGCUCAGGGCUGGUUGGAUACCAUCUCUAAUUACUCAGGACCACUUUUCUGCCCAUUUCUGCCUCUGUAGAUCCAGACCAGCUCCUGGAGAGUCCAGAAGUGACAAGAGUCUAAGCCCAGCCUGUCACUAGCCUCUCAUCCUUUAUCAAAAGCUAUUUGCAAAGCUCAGAGUUUGGAGAUAACAGUGGCGAGAUCCUGGCCAGGGUGAGGAUGGGGAGUUCUUCCCAACCAAACACUCACCAGCCCUCUCCAGGCAGCUCCAGUUCCCACCUGGAGUCACCACAGGGACUCUGUGGACAUCAAAGGACAUCUGCAAGUUCCCAACAAGCCAAAGCCCCUGUGCUUUGCAGGACUGUACUGUCCCCUUGUCUCAGCUGAAAAGCACAGCCGUUAAAUCAGAGGCUUUUAGAGACCUCCAAUUAAUAGAGAUACAGAAUCCCAGGUGGAGGAGGCCUCCCAGUACAUCCAACACCAGAAAACAUGGAGCACUGGAUGUUCUCCAGUUGCUCUGUGCCCUUCUGCUGGUACCCAGGAGGUGGAGAGGGCUGCUGGGCUCUUUUCACUGAGUUUUGGAUCCUCAGUGAAUGCACAGAGGAUCCACCAGCUGGAAACCCCAUUUUGCUUUUGGUAAUUCCCUCACCAUUGGUGCCCCAUCCACGUGGGACACUGUUACAUUCAUGGGAGCUGCUCCCUCUUUUUGGCAACAGAACCUCACCCUAAAGCCCUGCAUUCCAUCCUAAACAUGUCCCAAAGCAGCCCCAAACACUGGGACAUUCCCACCUGCACACAGCAACCCUGCCCCAGCACGUGAUUCGAGGUGUUAAAUUAACUUUCCUGGUGUUCAGCGUGAGGAGGCUCCAAAAUCCACCUCUGAUGUCCAACAUUGCCACUCCAAACUUUCCCGGUGAAAGUUUUUAUCUGGAAAACAAAACUAAAACAAAACCAAGGCACUGCAGCACAGGUGCAGUAAAAUGGGCAGAGGUUUCCACAAGGCAACGCAUGGCAGGUGAACCUAAACCUCUUUAUCCUCAUCUUCACUUCCCCUCAUUUCCCCCCCUUUCCUCUGACAAAACAGGAGAGGAAAAACAGCAAAAAAAAACCACCUGGAAAUUGCACUAUUUUUAUUUGCCAUUUUAUCAAAAUGGCGAUUUUGUUAGAGGAGAUUUCUUGAGAGUUUUCCUAAAAAAAGUGUUUUUAACAACUUCCAUGGGCAGCUCUAACAUCUCAGAGAGAGGUGUUAGACCAUCACUCAAAAAGAAAUGAGAUCCUUAUUUUACAGUAACUCUGAGCACGGAAUAGGCUCGUACCACAUCCUGACUGUGAGCUGGGGCAGUGCACCCAGGGACCAGAAUUCAGAGUUUGCCUUUGCCAAAGUGGCUGGAAAUGAGUUUGGGUGAGUGUCCCAAUGAGGACACCCCCACCUGCUCUAAACCCCAGUCUGGCAGGGGCUCUGUCCCCAGCUUUAGCUCCUCACAUCCCAAAUCUUUCUCCUCUUGCUGUGGAGGGCCACAGGGAGAAAUUUUUCAUUGAUCCUCAUUUGACUUUGGUGAAAUUUAUCAGUGUAUCCCUCAAACUGAGAUGUAUUUUAAGUAAGCAACUAAACUCUAAAAAGGACAUUGUUAAAAUCAAGCUCUUCAGCAACAGGGAAUUUACUGGAAAGCCAAAAAAGGCAACUUUUUUCAUGUCAAGGUUUCUCUGGAGCUGAUUAGUUAAACUACCUUUCAUCUAAAGAUACAAAAUGAGCUGCCCAGAGAAACAAAUCCUGACUUCUAGCUAGGGUGGUUGUAUAAAAACAUUUCAAAUGUUCACAAUGUUUCAAAAAGGGUUUACGCUAUUGAGUUUUCACACUGAGGAACUGCAGGGACCUGGCUGCACUUGAGAAACCAGAGGAAACAGAAUGAGUGAAGUGUUUGUAUAAAUAUUAGUCUUACAUAUAUAUUUACUUUAAAACUUACAUUGAUUCCACAUUGUGCCAACUGCCCAUUCUCCAAGGUAUUCAUCAGAGAAAGGAAAUGGGAAAAAAACCCAAACCCACAAAACAUAAAAACUCCAAGAGUGGCCACCUCUCACAGGUAGACGAUAAGUCCAAGCCCCAGGCACACUUGGGAACCUCAGAGCUCUCUCUUGUGCACUGAGCUCCGAGGAGCGAGAGAUCCAGGGACAAAACCCACCUGGAUCUGUCUGUAUCCAGCCAUAAAGUGACUUUGUACCCUCUGCAGCCACACAAAGCAAGAACACUUCUUCCACUAUCACAGACUCACAGAAUGUUACAGGCUGGGAGGGACCUCAAAGCCCAUCCAGUGCCACCCCUGCCAUGGCAAGGACACCUUUCCUUGGAGUAUCCCAGGCUGCUCCAAGCCCUGUCCAGCCUGGCCUUGGGCACUGCCAGGGAUCCAGGGACAGCCACAGCUGCUCUGGGCACCUGUGCCAGGGCCUGCCCACCCUGCCAUGGAACAAUUCCUUCCCAAAAUCCCAUCCCUCCCUGCCCUCUGGCAGUGGGAAAUCAUUCCUUGUCCUGUCACUGCACACCCUUGCCCAAGUCCCUCUCCAACAUCACAACAAUUUCUCUACAGCAAAGCAGAAUAUUUGGGCACCAGACUCAGCUGCUGGAGGGUCUCCCAAGCCCCCCAUGCCAGGAGCAGCACACCCCCUGUGCCCUGAGCCCCCCUGCAUGUCCCACCCCCAGCCCUGCCACCCCUCCGGGGGUUGCUUGGGUUCUUCCUUGCUUUAUGGGUGAAUGCACGAUUCCAAAAGAAAGCACAGGAUAAAGGACACUUCAUCAUGGCCUCACGAACACCACAAAGCACAUCACACAGCACAGGAAUGUCGGGGCUGGCGCUUCUCUAACGAAGCAAGGUAAAGUGGCAGCAUCGGCAGUGACACGUGUGGUGACAGAGGCUUCUCUCCCGGGGACUCCAGCAAGCCCGGACCCCUCUUUGGAUGAAAACCCCACCCCAUGUAAACAACUCGUGUGGAAGGGGGGGAAGCAGCACCCCAUUGCCCAGCUGGACAAGGAGAGCCCUUCCUUGGCCUCCCAGACUUUGGGGUGCGGGGCACCCCAGCUGCCCUCACCACCCCCACACCGCCAACCCUGCCCCAGUCACAUUUUGGGGGGUGGGGGGGGAAGGAGGGAACGGAUUCCCUGGACGCCCCCAUCCCUGCCACAGCCCGAACAAGCCACACCUAAAGCGUCUUUCACCCCGCAGGUUCUCCAAGUGCUUCUCGAAGCACAGAGACACGGGACUGUCCCCGCGUCCCUCCUGCCGGAGCUCUCCUCCCCGCAGUGCUGAACGCGCCCCCCCAUUAUUGCAUAGCAUCGCAGGCCCUGAUUUCAUUCAGGGGAUGGGCACAGCCACCCCACGCGUGGGGACCAGCCCCGCCGGGGGGGACGCGACAUCUCCCUCCCCGCCCCCCCGCUCCUGUGGCCUUCCCAUGGGAUGUGCCCCGAGGCGUGGGACCACCCGGAUGGGGCCCGCUGCUCCCCUGGCUCCUUACCCCGGGAGCAGACAAACGCCAUCGUGCGAGGAUCCUUUUUCUUUGCUUUUUCUUUUCUUUUUUUUCCUCUUUUUUUUUUUUUUUUUUGGUGUUUUGUGUUUUUAAAUAAAAAAUAAAAUGUGUAAGAAAAUAACAUUUCUAAAGGAAACCAUUAUCAUUCUACUCUCUCUCUCUCUCUUUCCUUUUCUCUUUUGCCUUUUUUUUUUUUUCCUUCUUUUUGGCCAUCUUUCCAUGGAACGAGAUGUGCUGACCGGGGAGGGGACUCCUCCCGGCAGGAGACAAUAACGACAGAGGGGGAAAAGAGAAGGAGCAGGAGAG